UACGUAGGCAGCGAGCGUUGUUCGGAGUUACUGGGCGUAAAGGGUGUGUAGGCGGUUCUUUAAGUUUGGCGUGAAAUCUCCCGGCUCAACCGGGAGGGUGCGUCGAAUACUGAGGGACUAGAGUACGGGAGAGGAAAGUGGAAUUCCUGGUGUAGCGGUGAAAUGCGUAGAUAUCUGGAGGAACACCGGUGGCGAAGGCGGCAUCCUGGACCGAGAUUGACGCUGAGGCGCGAAAGCCAGGGGAGCAAACGGG
rnacentral:rRNA from 1 species